rnacentral:rRNA from 1 species
AUACGGAGGGUGCAAGCGUUACUCGGAAUCACUGGGCGUAAAGCGCGCGCAGGCGGCUAUUUAAGUUGGAUGUGAAAGCCUAUGGCUCAACCAUAGAACUGCAUCCAAAACUAUUUAGCUAGAGUGUGGGAGAGGAAGAUGGAAUUAGUUGUGUAGGGGUAAAAUCCGUAGAGAUAACUAGGAAUACCAAAAGCGAAGGCAAUCUUCUGGAACACUACUACGCUGAGGCGCGAAAGCGUGGGGAGCAAACAGGAUUAGAAACCCCAGUAGUCC